rnacentral:rRNA from 1 species
AGGACGAACGCUGGCGGCGUGCUUAACACAUGCAAGUCGAACGAUGAACUCACCUUCGGGUGGGGGAUUAGUGGCGAACGGGUGAGUAACACGUGGGCAACCUACCCUUGACUCUGGGAUAACUCCGGGAAACCGGAGCUAAUACCGGAUAUGAACACGAAGGACAUCCUUUGUGUUGGAAAGUUUUUCGGUCAGGGAUGGGCCCGCGGCCUAUCAGCUUGUUGGUGGGGUAAUGGCCCACCAAGGCGACGACGGGUAG